AUUGAACGCUGGCGGCAGGCCUAACACAUGCAAGUCGAGCGGGGACGUCGGUCCUAGCGGCGAACGGGGGAGGAAUGCUGGGUAAGCUGCCCAGGAGUGGGGGAUAACGGCCCGAGAGGGACGCUAAGACCGCAGAGGUCCUACGGGGGAAGGAGGGGGAUCUGCGGGGCGGGGGUUGGUGGAUGAGCCCGGGUCGGGUUAGCUAGUUGGUAGGGUAAUGGCCUACCAAGGCGACGAUCCGUAGCGGGUCUGACGGGUUGAUCAGCCACCCUGGAACUGAGCCACCGUCAAGACUCCUACGGGAGGCAGCAGUGUGGAAUAUUGGACAAUGGGGGAAAGUAUGAUACAGCGAUGCCGAGUGUGUGAAGACGGCCUCCCGGUUGUAAAGAACUCUAAGCGGGGAGGAACGUCCGCGGCCUAAUACGUCGCGGAAUUGACGUUACCCGCAGAAUAAGCACCGGCUAACUCUGUG
rnacentral:rRNA from 1 species